UUGCACAAUCCGUUAAUUUGUAAUAAGGGAUUCGAUUUCAUCACGCUACAAAAUAAUUAAAAAGCAACGAUACCUAUUCAAAAAAUUCUACAUCGUACUUAUCUAACUGAUUAAAAAAUCUGAUUCAGCGAUCAUUCGAUCUUCCAAUCAUCCAAUCGUAAGCACAAACUACACGAAUAUCAACCUAAUCACGAUUAACUUCAGUCAAAAUUAAUAAUUAAUCUCUACCAUACCAAAAUAUUUGAUAAUUUUUAUUAAAUUCCAAAUUCAAAUUAGUUUUGGUUCACAUUUUCAAUCAUUCUCACUCUCAGUAAUAUUUCAAAGAAUCCAGCGAGUGGUUUGAUUUUUCUACAGUUGUUUCGUUCAGUAAAAAACAUCUAAAGAAUUUCCAAGGUUCCAGGAAGAAACAUCUAAAGAAUUUCCAAAGUUUCCAAGUUACAAUAAUUUGCAGUGGUGAGUUAAGUACACUACUCUUGCUCUGUAUAGCUUUCUUUGAUUUCAUAUACUUUGUAGACUGUGAAAAUAGGUUUCAAAAUUGAACAAGUUUCUGUUUGGUGCACUGCUCAGUUUCUGUUUGUUUUAAUUUUGGGAUACUUACGAGUACCUACAAAAAUGGUGUCCGGUUAAUAAUAUUGUCAUUUGUUUCAGUUAAGAUUGCUAUGAUGGAAGUAAUGAAGUCAUUACAUACAAUACAUCAUUAUCAACUAUAAGAAUGGUGAGUACCUAUUUAAGCCUAUCCAGUAGAAAAAUUGUCAACCUAACAUACACAUAACUAAUCAUAUCCUUAUUUUAGAAUGCGAUUAUGAUAUCAUUGCUUGAUGAAAAAAAAAGCGAAACGAAAGAAUCAUCGCCAUAAAAUUCGAAAUGAAUAAAAACGAGACACAACUACAGAAAAACUUAAACUGGAAACCGAUAAGAACGAAAGACAACUAUUAAAGAAACAUGGCUACAAAAUUCGAGAGGAUAAUCAAGAAGUGAAUAAUUUUCUAAUCUUGCGAAAUCGGGAUGCCCAUCAAGCUCUCAGCUCUGACGAACGGGAAGAAGCGUAUCCGAAGAGUUGUUGGAAGCUAGCAGCAAUGGAGGACAAAAAGGCUGUGGUACCACUUUUAUACUCAAAUUUUCCAAUGUACCUUAUGAAAACAAUAAGACUGGAAUCAAAAAAGAGGAAACACUCUCUGGUGCUAAAUGAACAGCAUUCCCCAAGUUGCCUAUAGUUCCCAACUAAAGUACGAGCAGAUUAGAAGAACAAGAAAGUUCUUUCUAUUUGAAAAUUCGAAAAGGCUUAUGCUGCUUCAUCAACAUUUUGUGAAGAUUAGGAGGACCACAGGAUGACCAACGUGAAGAAGCGUAUCCCAAGUUGUUGGAAGCUAGCAGCAAUAAUGAGAGACAAAAAGUUGUUUUAUAGCUUCUACACUCAAGUUUUCCUAUCUCGUGAAAAGCGACAAUACCGUGAUCACAAGGGAGGAAACACGGCUAAAUGAACAACAUUCGCCUAGUUGCCUAUAGUUCCCAACUAAAGUACGAGCACCUUAGGAAAAGAACAAACGUAUUCUUUCUGUUUGAAGAUUUCGAAAAGGCAUACGCUGCUUCUCAACAUUUUAAAUAUACGCAAAUUAAAGGAACUAACAUUGUUUGGGGGACCAAGGGAGUUUUCUAUAUAUAGUCUCGCCCAGUAGACAAGAUCUAAAGAAUGUUCGAUAGUUUUCAAAUUACAAUUGAUUUAGAUUGUCAUGAUGGAAAUGAUCUUCCUUGCCAUCCUUACCAACUAUAUGACGAAACCAAUUAAAAAUUAUGAUGAUGCGGAAAACGAGAAAUAACUAAACCUGGACGAUGAUACAAACAGAGUAUAUAUCAUAGGACCCAACAACAAGAAAACGGAAACGCCUCAAUGAACUCAUCAAAACACAUGAUCACAGAGGAAAAUUGAAGACUCAAGUUACAGGCGAUAGUCGAUUUAAAUAUUUGGUAAAAUGUCUUUUUCGAGGACAGCCACCCCGAGUGGAUGAACAAAGAAACGAAUACUCAGAUCGAGCCAAGAACGCAAAUGUUUCUCAACAUUGAAAACGAAAGAAUCAUCGCCAUAAAAAAUUCGAAAUGGAUAAGAACGAGACCAACAGCUUAUCCAGAAAAAUGAAAACUAGAGAUGGAUAAGAACGAAACACAACUAAAGAAAAAUGGCUGACGAGAGAGAAGAAGCGUAUCCGAAGUUGUUGGAAGCCAUAGCAGCAAUGAGAGACAAAAAGUUGUUUUAUAGCUUAUAUACUCAAGUUUUCCUAUCUCGUGAAAAGCGACAAUACCGUGAUCACAAAGGAGGAAACACGGCUAAAUGAACAACAUUCACCUAGUUGCCUAUAUAUAGUUCCCAACUAAAGUACGAGCAUGUUAGGAAAAGAAGAAACGUAAUCUUUCUGUUUGAAGAUUUCGAAAAGGCUUAUGCUGCUUCUCAACAUUUUAAAAGUACAUCCUACAAGAUCAAAAGAAUCGUGAUGAGCAUAGUGCCAGAAGUUACCUCAAAUAAUACAUAGGAUAAAAUAUCGAAGAAAGAUGCAGCAAUCACCUACAGCGUCUCCUCUAGAAAAAAUAAAAAUCAUGAAGAUUAGGAGGACACCAGACUUCAAGCAAUGUAAUGGAUUAAUAAUAUUAUGGCCAUCAAUAAUGUAAACAGCUUCUUCAAUAAACCCUUCGCAGUA